GAGUUUGAUCCUGGCUCAGGACGAACGCUGGCGGCGUGCCUAACACAUGCAAGUCGAACGAAGCACCUUACUUGAUUCUUCGGAUGAAGGUCUGGUGACUGAGUGGCGGACGGGUGAGUAACGCGUGGGUAACCUGCCCUGUACAGGGGGAUAACAGUUGGAAACGGCUGCUAAUACCGCAUAAGCGCACGAGAGGACAUCCUCUUGUGUGAAAAACUCCGGUGGUACAGGAUGGGCCCGCGUCUGAUUAGGCAGUUGGCGGGGUAACGGCCCACCAAACCGACGAUCAGUAGCCGGCCUGAGAGGGCGACCGGCCACAUUGGGACUGAGACACGGCCCAAACUCCUACGGGAGGCAGCAGUGGGGAAUAUUGGGCAAUGGAGGAAACUCUGACCCAGCAACGCCGCGUGGAGGAAGAAGGUUUUCGGAUCGUAAACUCCUGUCCUUGGAGACGAGUAGAAGACGGUAUCCAAGGAGGAAGCCCCGGCUAACUACGUGCCAGCCGCCGCGGUAAUUC
rnacentral:rRNA from 1 species